rnacentral:rRNA from 1 species
CUUAAAUUGAAGAGUUUGAUCAUGGCUCAGAUUGAACGCUGGCGGCAGGCCUAACACAUGCAAGUCGAGCGGAAACGAGUUAUCUGAACCUUCGGGGAACGAUAACGGCGUCGAGCGGCGGACGGGUGAGUAAUGCCUAGGAAAUUGCCUUGAUGUGGGGGAUAACCAUUGGAAACGAUGGCUAAUACCGCAUAAUGCCUA